rnacentral:rRNA from 1 species
GAAGGCCCCACUGUCUUAAGGAAAUUCCCAGUGAAAUUGAAUUCGUAGUGAAGAUGCUACGUCCAAUUUGUUAGACGAAAAGACCCCGUUGAGCUUUACUGGGGCACUUACACGGCCCCGGCCUUCCAAACUAGGCUUACCAUGCCUAGGGGUCGGCCGAAUUUAAAUGGGCGGCUUAGAUUAUGUGGCAGCCCCCCGUCGGGGCAGAUGAAACCCCACUCCCCCAUGUCAAAGGGGCUAACCCCCCCCCUUGGGGGGGGACAGUGUAAGUAGGACAGUUUGGUUGGGGCGACCGCCUUUUAAAGAGUAACGAAGGUGCGCUUAAGGUGCGCAAAUAAUGACUGAAGCCUGACUGCGAGGGGGACACCCCGAGCAGACACCCCCAAGCCUGCCCGAAGGGCGGCGGUGGGGUGGGCCAUAGUGACCCGUUAAUUUAGAGUGGAAUAGUUAACGAUCAACGAAUAAAAGUUACCACGGGGA